CUUCACCCAGUCCUCUCACUCUCGUUGGCUGCUGUUAUCAUGAAUGGCACUAAUCAGUUCCAGGAAAUCUCUACAACAAGCAUUAUGUCACAUAUGGUUACAUCAUUCCCUCUAACCUCUAGGGCUUCCUGUUGACAUCUUUGGAGCUCUUCUACUACCAAAUGGUACUAGAAGAAACGCCAAGCUGUAUUUUUAUCCACUUCUGUCUGCCAGAAGGAAUUCAAAUGUUUCCCUUUUGCAGGUUUCACCUGCUGGGUCUCAUCUUUGCUUCUUAAAAUGAGCAAACCUCAGUGGACCUUCUCAGGGUCUCUCCAGAUGUUUGCAUAAAGGAUGCAUCUGCACUAUGAAAUUCACCAUGAAUGAAUGAACACUCAGAUGUCUUCACUUCCAGCAGAGAGGACACAACUCUCAGGCUGAAUUAGGCUGUUUGGAGAGGUUUACCAAAAGCUCCAUGGGUUACAGACACAAGACUGUUCUCUCACACUGGUCUGAACUGAGCACUUGGUGGGUAGUAACAUACGAACUCUGACCACAUCACCGGUGUGAAAUUGCUGAUUAACCUUUUGACUCGGACAAUUGGGACUUCUCUCAACACCAACUGGUAAUGCAGAAGACCAUUAGUAGUUAAUAUUGGGACAUCCCAGCUCCAGAUGUCAAAAGUUGUAGAUGUUGGAACUCAAUUUAUCCAGAAGCUGGGGAGGACCUGAACCGGCUCAAGCCGUUCUGAAAGAGAGAAGAAGCAGCACAACCAUCCUCUAACAAAAAUGGUACAUUCAAGAAGAAGCUUCAGGAAUCAGCUAGGCCUCAUGUUCAUUUGCUUUAAGUAUUAAUGAACUUCAGAGCUUUUCUUCAUUGGCUGAUUUUCUUUACUUAAAAAGAUGUUAAAUGUGAGCCUUUAAUUUUAGGUUCCCCAUAUUUCCUGUAUUUCCCAAAUUUAAGUCUUCAUUAAUGACUUUUCCAUAUAGGGUUUCUCUUAAAUUUCUGUCAGGGCCUGUAGAUGUGCAUAACUAGUAAAAAAUAUGUUAUCUGCAUUUAGUGUCGGGUUUUGGAACCCUCACUGCCAAGUCACCUCUCCACUGCAUCUCACCUCACAUGCAUUUCUGUGUAGUGCCAGGAGAAGAAUGGAAAACAGCUAUGAAGUAAAAGCAGAUUCUGCUCCCAUUAAAAGCAAUGAAAACUGUGCUUUUACUUCUACUUACUCAUAAUAGCGGAGAAAAACGAAGUGGAAACAAGCACAACAAAACACCUCUGGCCAGCUAUCUCCAAUCUAACCAAGCUUCCACUAAUGAGGUGCUCUGGCAUUUAGGAAAGACAAGUUCUUCUAGAAAUGGAAAAAAACCACUGAGUUUUUCUUCCAGUUCUGAAAGGCUAGUGAAAAAGGCUAUUUCAAAAAAUGGAUGACAGUCAAACUUAUAAUGUUGUCUGUGCUAUUAAGUACCUAGAGAUGCCCAUACAGUUUCUUGUCAAUUAAAUGCUUUUACAUAUAUAUUUGGCAGCUUAUUAAAUAUUGAAACUUAUAUACCUUACCAAAUUAUUGACUGUAUUUAUAGGGUCAUUUAAAUCACCAUAAAUUUUUUGAGAAAGUUAAUAAUAUCAACUUACUAUAGUGGAGUAAUUUUCAGGUCACAUUUUCUAGAAAACUCUAUACCAUGGACAAUCACAUAGUCUAUUAAACAGAACAGUACAGUUUGUGGAAAAGAUAAUAGUCCAGAUCAUGAGAUAGCACCAGAUUUCAUAUUAUGAUUUCCAGAUGUCUUUGUGAGCUUAAUGCAUACAGCAUUGGUUUAAGUCUAAUCUGCAUGGCAGAAUUGCAAGUUGUUCCAAUUUUCUUCUCACUGGGCCUGUGUGGAGAAACAGGAGGGCAUUGUUCUGCUGCUUUGUAGAGAGAAGUUUACCCGAAGGACAAGGGAGAGUUGCACUUAGCUGUGUCCACAUCCUCAUCUGGCUGCAGAAAGCUGGCAAAUCUGCUCCUGAUGUUUAUCUUCCCACCUCAGUAGCCCUUUUCCUGCACACUUGUCUCCACACAGUGUCUUGGUCACCCCAAAACAUUGGACAGAACUGGCCUCCCUGUCCUGUCCCCAGCCCUAACCACUGGAAGCAUCAACAUUCUCUUUUGUUUAGAAUGCUGGAAAGAUGUGUUACAGCAGCCUGUCACAGCUGUCAGGCUUCUGUGACAACCUGGUUGCAUUAUUCUAAGCAGUGUGUGUAGAUUCUCUGAAGAGACAGAAAAGCUGGAAUUUCCCAAACUGAACAUCAUAUAUACUCACCCAGAAGCUCCUGGAGUGAGUGUCUGCAACCAGCAGGCAGCUUCCCAGCUGUUUCCAGGGUGCAGCUUUAGAAACAAAGUUCCCCGAACAUCCACUGUAAAACAAUGUAUUGCAUCAGUUUCCUGAAUCAGGGACUAGGUGAAGUCACAUUACAUCACUGGCAGCCUGGGGAAUUUACAGCACUUUGCAGGGCAGCCCAAUAUCCUCCUGUGCCCAGAUGUCCACAAGUUUCUGGUGGGUCACACGCAACCAUAAACAUUAAAUAGUAUUUCCUCUGUUAUAUUCCUGCUGGAGACCAUUCUACUGGUACAGGUAGGUGGGCUAGAUAACAGUGCAAGGACCUGACAGGACAUUUGCUUUUCAAUUCUAGCACUGUUGGGCUGGGAAGUGAAAAAGAGCUCUGCAAACAGAACAGGUGUCUGAAAUGACAGUGCAAAGGGAAAAAAUGCUCAAGGCUACUUUUCCUCCAUGGAAAUCUCAACAAAAAAAUGUCAGUUUGGGGCUUUUUGAAUUUCUCUCUGGAGUCAAACAUUCAGUGUGAAUUUACAAAGGAGUGUGAGGAAGGAGUAUUUUGGCUCCUUCAAUCCUGUGUUACAAAACCUCCCAGGGCUUCAGUGAGGAUUUUAGCAUCUCGCAGUCUUCAAAUGUUAUGCUGUGCAAGGAUGUGCUUAUACAUAAUUUUGUAAUUGAAAUGGCAUGUUUACUGUUCUAUUUCAUGCUUGAUUGUGUUUUUUAAACACCUUUACUCAUGCUGUUAGAAGUGGGAUUAUAAUUAAAAUGUCCUGUUGAACACCUUGUUCAGUUCAAUGAAGGCAUAAUAGAAGUAUAAAUACUUGUUCUUGUUGACUCUGUGAUGUCAGCACAACAAAUGCAGUAAAUGUCAUAAAACAAAUCUCUCUUUCACCAAAGCAUCUGCCAGAAGGGAAGGGAAAACAGAAUUUGUGACUGGGCAAAGAGGGGCCCUCCCCUUUGGAAAAAGGAAAUACUUUGAGAUGUUAUCUGUGAUAUAGAUGUGUUAACUAAGGCAUGGAAUGAUUGAUUGCUUUAUCUAGUUAUGAGGCAAAAGAAAAAAAAAUCAGAGGGGAAUUUGUUCCUCUACUCACAGUCCCUUGGCCUAAAGACUAAGUAGCACUUUCUCCUACACUUGCCAUUAGGAAAUGCCAAGUCUGCCUGUGAAGUAUUAAGGAGCAACUUACAUUUAUUAAUAUUCCUGUUUCCUUUAAAUAUAUACAGAUAUGCAGACUUCAAGUCUUUAUGGUGGAGUGGAACUACAACACAAUGCCCAAAUAUUUCUGUCACUGACCAGUGGCUUCAGAACUUUAGCAUAGCAAUAAUGGUUUCAUUUUCUUUGUGUUUUCUCUUGUAGUCUAAGUUACCACCAAUUAUGUGAUGUCUAACCUUUCUGGCAGGCAUAUAUUCAGUCUUAAAGAGCUUUAAAUUACUUCACAGCUUGAAAUUACAUGUAAGAAGGGAUGUUCCAACAUUUAGCCUAAUUGAUGCUUUCUUGGGCAGUUUACUUGGAUACCUUGGCUCAGUUUCCUCCUCUGAAAAAUGCGGACAACAAUGUCUGUGUUCCUUGUGCUCUUUGAUGUAAUAAUGUUUUUACUGUACUAAAUACUAGGCUCUACACUGCACAAACCCCAUGAGGUUUUAGGUUUGUGUCUUUUCACUGGCUGAAAGAGGGCUCUCAAAACCAGUCCUGGGAUGUGUAAUAUUUCCGUGCCAAAGCAGGACUUUCCAGUCAGUAGCUGCCCUAUAGAAAAAGCCCAUGUGAUCUUUACGAAGCAGGCAAAUAAGCCGACCCAAAGGCUAUGGAAAUUGCCUGCUGUGCACAGUUUCAUUUCCAGCUACUCCAAGCUCAGCAGAAGCUGGACAUGCAGAUUGUUCACAGAAUUUAGUCUUUAGAAUGAAAGCAGUGAGGAAGUGACAAAGUAGGAGGUUUUUCCCCCUGGGAUGAGAGAGGCAGGUGGGUACAUAGGAUGGUCCAGUCCAGACCAGAGAAAGAUUCUGCAGCAGGGAUAAAGCUACAGAACAUAGAACAAGCAGGACAAAAUGGACAAGAAUGUUGUCAAGUGGGAUUGCAACAAAACUUGGUGUAUUUCUUUGAAUGUCUCAUUAUAUGUACAGGUGCAGCUCUACACACCCACACAUGCUGCAUUUAUUUCAGUGUGUGAUCAUAUAAAUACCUGCAGGUGUGAUACUGAAGAGAUACCCACGCUGAGGCAUGAAUAUGGAGUUCCACAUCUGUAUUGGCUGCCUGGUUCACACAAUGAACUUGUGCAGUCAGUGGGUUCUAUUUCCACCUCCUGUACGCACUUCACAAUUAAAACCAAAGAAAAGUCCAUUCUGGUUUUGACAUUUAACAGGAUAUCAUGGCAUAGAACUAAAAUAUGUGUAUGGGACAGUCAUCAUAACCUCACUGUGUUGCACAUUAUAUACAAAAUAAGGAUGAAACUAAUUUCAGAUAAAAAUGGCCAUAUCAAUUAAAUGUAUAGUAAUAAAUCCAUAAAGUUGGAAUUUAAUGUGUAUUUUGGAACACCUGAAACUUCAGCUGGGCUUCAGUGCAGUGGUUGGUUUCUCACUUCUGGCACACACUGAGAUGGCUCCUUCUCUAUAAUACCAUCAGAUAGUCCAUAAUACAUGGGCUGAGAAUUGUGGCUGCUGCAAAACUAUGGUUUUGAAUUUUCUGACUUGCUUACAUGUAAAAAAGUCUCAGCCAUGGCAUUACACUUAUGCAGCUGGUUUAAUUAAACAAUAACAUGUCGCUAACUACUUGUCUAUAAACACCCUCCUUUCAGUGUCAAAAAUGUAAAAGAGCUAAAGGAUAUAAACUGGGGGUAACAUUUUGCAUGUAAUUGCUGCCUGCAGAGACUCAAGGUCGUCAAAGUUUCUUACCUUUUAUAAGGCCUUUAGUGAUAACUUUUGUUUCCCAGAGAGAAAAAUAAACCUACCAAAGUUCCUUUGAACAUUUCAGCAGCCUUUCAUAGUGUUAGCUGUGAUAGUAAUGGUGUCACAUUCCUAAUAAGGAUGUAUACAAACUGUGUUUUAGGAGUCCCUGCUGCUUUCUUUGUGGAAACUAUCUCAGAUGCUUUGGGAUUAUUUGGCAGUAACUUCUUUUUGCACCAUGAUUUCACAGAGAUCUUCUCUGUUAUCUUCUUUUCAGCAUAUUCCUUUGAAGAUCUAGGGAGAAAAUGUGGUGCUUGAGCAUUCAGUGAAACCUGGUUUGCAUCUCCAUCUAGCUAAACAUAGGCGGCAUUAGCCACAGCGGCUGACAACGCGGCUGAACGUAUGCGGACAAGCUGCUCUCCCCGAGCAGGCGGGCUCUGCCGACACCUGUGAAGUGAAAACCUGUCUGCAUCGCAGGUGAGAAAGCAAAUAACGCAGGGUGCCGCCGCAGGAGUAACGCGGCGCAGGAGUAACUGCCGCAGCCACGUCCGCUGUCCCCCGCCACGGCGGCCCGAGCACCCGGGGCCGGGCCCAUCGGGGCCCAUCGCGGCCCCGCCAUCACCGGCCCCGUGCGCCGUUCGCCGCAGCGCCCGCCAGGUGGCGCCCUUGCUCGGCGAGUGGCGUGAG